GAUGAACGCUGGCGGCGUGCCUAAUACAUGCAAGUCGAGCGAACAGACGAGGAGCUUGCUCCUCUGACGUUAGCGGCGGACGGGUGAGUAACACGUGGAUAACCUACCUCUAAGACUGGGAUAACUUCGGGAAACCGGAUCUACUACCGAAUAAUAUAUUGACCCGCAUGGUUCAAUAGUGAAAUACGGUUUUGCUGUCACUAAUAGAUGGAUCCGCCCCGCAUUAGCUGGUUGGUAAGGAAACGGCUUACCAAGGCAACGAUGCGUAGCCGACCUGAGAGGGUGAUCGGCCACACUGGAAGUGAGACACGGUACAGACUCCUACGGGAGGCAGCAGUAGGGAAUCUUCCGCGAUGGGCGAAAGCCUGACGGAGCAACGCCGCGUGAGUGAUGAAGGUCUUCGGAUCGGAAAACUCUGUUAUUAGGGAAGAACAAAUGUGUAAGUAACUAUGCACGUCUUGACGGUACCUAGUGAGAAAGCCCCGGCUAACUACGUG
rnacentral:rRNA from 1 species